GCCGGGAGACUUGUCCCUGCUGCCUAAGGAUCCUACUAAGCCAGUGCGCGACUACCCCAGGCUCAUUGACUGCUUCCAUGGGCGAGUGGACGGGCUGGCGUACCGCUCCGUGGACCGCCUGCUCCGGCAGCGCGACAUGAACGUCCGGAAAAAGACAGGCCACGAGGACACAUACCGCCUACCAAUAACUACAAGCAUGGACUAUGGCUGGCCUUUCCCAGAAGAAUUAUCUAAAGACCUAAAAUGGAGCGAGCCUCAUGUCCGAUACCCAUUACCAAAAUCUGAAAUGUCCGAAUUCUACGCUCAGUCACAGCUUCAGAAUCCAUUGUAUUAUUGGUACUGAUACCAACGUAUCGCCAGCUGACAUCAUAAUUCCCAGACAGAAGCGAAUACAGAUUUUUCGGAAGACAUUUUCUUUUCAUCGACGUCGUCUCUUAUACAAGUAUAG